AUUGAACGCUGGCGGCAUGCCUUACACAUGCAAGUCGAACGGUAACAGGUCUUCGGAUGCUGACGAGUGGCGAACGGGUGAGUAAUACAUCGGAACGUGCCCGAUCGUGGGGGAUAACGAAGCGAAAGCUUUGCUAAUACCGCAUAAGAUCUAAGGAUGAAAGCAGGGGACCGCAAGGCCUUGCGCGAACGGAGCGGCCGAUGGCAGAUUAGGUAGUGGGUGGGAUAAAAGCUUACCAAGCCGACGAUCUGUAGCUGGUCUGAGAGGACGACCAGCCCAACUGGGACGGGGACACGGCCCAGACUCCUACGGGAGGCAGCAGUGGGGAAUUUUGGACAAUGGGCGAAAGCCUGAUCCAGCCAUGCCGCGUGCAGGAUGAAGGCCUUCGGGUUGUAAACUGCUUUUGUAUGGAACGAAAAGACUCUUUCUAAUAAAGAGGGUCCAUGACGGUACCGUAAGAAUAAGCACCGGCUAACUACGUGCCAGCCGCCGCAGUAAAAC
rnacentral:rRNA from 1 species